rnacentral:rRNA from 1 species
UACAGAGGGGGCAAGCGUUAUUCGGAAUUAUUGGGCGUAAAGGGCGCGUAGGCGGCUAAACAAGUGACGGGUGAAAGCCCUCGGCUUAACCGAGGAACUGCCUGUCAGACUGUUUGGCUUGAGACCGGGAGAGGUGAGUGGAACUGCGAGUGUAGAGGUGAAAUUCGUAGAUAUUCGCAAGAACACCAGUGGCGAAGGCGGCUCACUGGCCCGAUACUGACGCUGAGGCACGAAAGCGUGGGGAGCAAACGGG